rnacentral:rRNA from 1 species
AGUCGACGGUAAUAUUGUAGCAAUACAGUAUGAGAGUGGCGCACGGGUGAGUAACGCGUAUGCAACCUACCUAUAACUGGGGGAUAGCUCAGAGAAAUCUGAAUUAAUACCGCAUAACAUUGUUGACUGGCAUCAGUUAACAAUUAAAACUCUGGUGGUUAUAGAUGGGCAUGCGUGACAUUAGCUAGUUGGUAAGGUAACGGCUUACCAAGGCUACGAUGUCUAGGGGGUCUGAGAGGAUGAUCCCCCACACUGGUACUGAGACACGGACCAGACUCCUACGGGAGGCAGCAGUAAGGAAUAUUGGUCAAUGGAGGCAACUCUGAACCAGCCAUGCCGCGUGAAGGAUGACGGCCCUAUGGGUUGUAAACUUCUUUUGUACGGGAAGAAACCCCUCUACGUGUAGAGGGUUGACGGUACUGUAAGAAUAAGGACCGGCUAACUUCGUGCCAGCAGCCGCGGUAAUACGAAGGGUCCAAGCGUUAUCCGGAUUUAUUGGGUUUAAAGGGUGCGUAGGCGGCUUAUUAAGUCAGUGGUGAAAGCCCGUAGCUCAACUACGGAACUGCCAUUGAUACUGAUGAGCUUGAAUAUACUUGAGGUUGGCGGAAUGUGUCAUGUAGCGGUGAAAUGCUUAGAUAUGACACAGAACACCGAUUGCGAAGGCAGCUAGCUAAAGUACAAUUGACGCUGAUGCACGAAAGCGUGGGGAGCAAACAGGAUUAGAUACCCUGGUAGUCCACGCCCCAAACGAUGAUAACUCGAUGUGUGCGAUAUACUGUACGCGUCCAAGCGAAAGCAUUAAGUUAUCCACCUGGGAAGUACGGUCGCAAGAUUGAAACUCAAAGGAAUUGACGGGGGCCCGCACAAG